rnacentral:rRNA from 1 species
CGUAGGGUGCGAGCGUUAAAUCGGAAUUACUGGGCGUAAAGCGUGCGCAGGCGGUUAUAUAAGACAGAUGUGAAAUCCCCGGGCUCAACCUGGGAACUGCAUUUGUGACUGUAUAGCUAGAGUACGGCAGAGGGGGAUGGAAUUCCGCGUGUAGCAGUGAAAUGCGUAGAUAUGCGGAGGAACACCGAUGGCGAAGGCAAUCCCCUGGGCCUGUACUGACGCUCAUGCACGAAAGCGUGGGGGGCAAACAGGAUUAGAUACCCUGGUAGUCCACGCCCUAAACGAUGUCAACUGGUUGUUGGGUCUUCACUGACUCAGUAACGAAGCUAACGCGUGAAGUUGACCGCCUGGGGAGUACGGCCGCAAGGUUG